AUGGGCCGGUGGGGGAUGAAGCUCGGCGACAUGGCCGAGUUCCAGUGCUUCGUCUGCAAGGACGCCGGCGACGUCCGCGUCUGCGACUCCAGGAACUGCCUCAAGAGCUACCACCCGUGCUGCGUGGGGAAGGAGGACGACUUCAUUGAUUCCAGUGAGCAAUACGUUUGUGAUUGGCACAAAUGUGCUAAAUGCGGAAGUGAUGCACUCUAUUUAUGCUUGUGCUGUCCAAGUUCCUCUACUUGUGGAGACUGCUUUGGAAAAAUUGAUUUCAUCCCAGUGAAGCAGAGCAACGAAUUCAGCAUGGGAUUCUGCCGCAGCUGUUUUAAUAUGGCAGUAGCGACUGAGAAAGAUGACCGUGAAGAGGCAAAGGUUGCUUUCGGAGGUACCCCGGAGAACUAUGAAAUAUUGUUUAAAGAUUACUGGUCAGUACUUAAUGACAAGGAGCGUUUUACAUUGCUCGACUUGCAAAUCGCAAGUAUUCGUCAUAAAAGAAGCCUACAGUGUAAAGAAGGGAAUGAUUCGAAUGAGUAUCACAAGACAGAUGGAAAGCCAUUGGGUGACAAUGAUGGUGCUGGGCCAUCAUCUCUUCUUGACACAAUGGACAAACCAAAUGAAGUGCAAGCUACUCUGAAGAGAAAGAAGCUGGAGAAGAAAACAUAUGUUGGGUGGGCUUCAAAAGAGCUAACAGAAUUCCUAUCAUGUAUUGGUAAGGAUACAAGCACGCCUCUUGACCAUUUCAAAGUUGCUGAAGUUGUUAGGGAGUAUGUUCGACAGAAAAAUCUACAUCUACAUGAUAAGAAGAAGAAAUCUGUCAUGUGUGAUGAGAACCUGCAUUCUUUAUUUAACAAAAAGAAAAUUAAGUACAACAUGAUCCAUAGCCUGGUGGAAACGCAUCUUUCUGCAAAUGCAAUUUCAGAGGAUGAAAGUGAUGGAUCUGUGGAUGAUACUGGUUACACGGUGAAAAAGAAGCCUCGGAAUAGUUUGGAGCCAAAAAUUCCUAAGAGUGUUUCAGGAAUAGACCCAAUAAUUCCUAAGAGUGUUUCAGGAACAAACAAGAAUUGUCUUGCCGCUCUCAAUCCGAAUAACCUGAAUCUGAUUUAUCUGAGAAGAACCUUAGUUGUAAAACUUCUGACUGAGCUAGACACAUUUGAACAGAAGGUUAUUGGUUGUUUGGUCAGAGUGAAGAAUGAUCUCAAGAGUUAUACUUAUAUGAUGACUAAGAAAUAUUACCAGAUUGGACUAGUUACAGGCAUUAAGAAAUCUUCAGAAGAAUACAAGAUUAAGAAUACAUUUACAGAUGUUCUUUUAUGUGUUUCCGGUAUGUGGGAUGAUGUCAAGAUCUCGAUGCUAUCAGAAGAGGACUUUGAGGAGGAUGAGUGCAAUGAUCUUCUGAAGUCGGCCAAGAAAGAGCUCUUCAAAAGGCCUACUGUUGCUGAGUUAGAGGAAAAAGCAGCAAGUGUACAUGCAGACAUAGUAAAUCAUUGGUUUGAUAAGGAGCUUCGAAAAUUGGAAAUGGAGUUGGAACGAGCGCGUGAGAAGGGGUGGCGUCAGGAUAUCCAUGACAUAAGUUGUCAGAAAAUGCUUCUAAGCACACCAGAAGAAAUACAGCGCCGUCUUGAGGCGACCCCGGAAGUUAUUCCAGAUGCUGAAGGGGAGAGUAAAGAAACUGGGAUUGAAUCAGCAGUGAACAUUCCUUUUCAAGGGAAUCGAGGAGAAAGACAGCAACGUCUUGAGGUGAUCCCCGAAGUUAUUCCAGAUGCAGAAGAAGGGAGUAAAGAAACUGAGAUUGAAUCAGCAGCAAGGAGCCCUUUUCAAGGGAGUCGAGGUGUGAUACAGACAGUAGUUGACCCUUUGGAAGUUGGUAUAGAUGAAUCACUAGAAGGUGCAUCUCUGCGACAUGACGCUGCCUGUGAAGUUGUUUUUGAAGCUGCCGGCAAAGCCCUCUGUAAUGGUGGCACUCCUGGUCCUGGAUUGCACACUCAACUGAACAAAGCUGCCGGCAAAGCCCUCUGUAGUGGUGGCACUCCUGGUCCUGGAUUGCACACACCAUUGAACACAGCUGCCGGCAAAGCCCUCUGUAAUGGUGGCACUCCUGGUCCUGGAUUGCACACUCAAUUGAACACAGCUGCCGGCAAAACCCUCUGUAAUGGUGGCACUCCUGUUCCUGGAUUGCACACUCCAUUGAACGCAGUUACUGGAGUCAUUGAUAUCGACAACGAGGAUGAUGGAAAUGGUCCUAGUCAUCACACUGGUGGUGACAAGGAAUAUGUCAUCGAUCUGGUCAGUGAUGACGACGAGGAUGUUCACAUGGAGCAGCGUGAGCGAGAACGGGCAAAAUGUGAUGGACCAGUAGCCGUUAAUGGGAUCGCUGCGCAUGCACAUGACGGACCGGAAGCUGUCAAUGGGGUCACCGUACCUACAGUCCAUGCUUCCAAUGAUCUGGAUGGAAACACGGGGCCUGCAUGCAGUACGUCACAAGCCAUGGUGCGUGAUCCUGUAACUGUGAAUGGGACAGGCAAGUCAGAUCAAGGGUGGAUGUACAUAGAUCCUCAGGGGCGAGAGCAUGGGCCAUACCCAAUGGCUCAAAUGCGGGAGUGGCAGCAAAGUGGGUACUUCCCUGAGGGCUUCCGCGUGUGGAGAGCAGGGAGAUCAAGGCGGGGGAGAGCCUCCAUGUUGCUGAUAGAUGCCAUGCGGCUGCAUUAG
rnacentral:rRNA from 1 species